rnacentral:rRNA from 1 species
AAACAUCGCCUCCUGCAACAUCAAAGUAUAGGAGGUCUUACCUGCCCAGUGAUAAAUUAAACGGCCGCGGUAUUUUGACCGUGCGAAGGUAGCGCAAUCACUUGUCUUUUAAAUAGAGACCUGUAUGAAUGGUAGAACGAGGGCUUAACUGUCUCCCCUUUCAAGUCAAUGAAAUUGAUCUGCCCGUGCAGAAGCGGGCAUUAUUAUACAAGACGAGAAGACCCUUUGGAGCUUAAGAUACAUAAUCACCUGCACCAAUAAUUAAUCAAAAUUAAAUUAAACCAAGCAAUAUCUGAUUAACAUCUUUGGUUGGGGCGACCACGGGAAAAAAUAAAACUCCCAUGCGGAAUGGGACAACCCCUAAAUCUUAGAAAGACAUUUCAAAGCAUCAAAACAUUUGACCAUGAAGAUCCAGCCACAAACUGAUCAACGAACCAAGUUACCCAAGGGAUAACAGCGCAAUCCCCUUCUAGAGCCCCUAUCGAAAAGGGGGUUUACGACCUCGAUGUUGGAUCAGGACAUCCUAAUGGUGCAGCCGCUAUUAAGGGUUCGUUUGUUCAACGAUUAAAGUCCUACGUGAU